GUCUACAAAACCAAGAUCAUGCUUGCCAUUUCAGUAUUUCACAUCUAAAACAAGUUGCUGUUAUUAAUACAACUCAACCCGUCAAAUGAUUUACGGUUGAGCAUGCUAUUCCAAAUACAACAAUAACAUUACUACUUACACAUCCUUUAUAUAUCACUUCCCAUGAUAAUACAUACACAAAUUUGUAUCUAAACUUCAUAAAUAUGCAUUUGGUUACACAAUUUUGAUGUCAAACAAACCGAGCUCACAUCGUAUCCGAGUGCGUCAGUAAUGAUGAUGACACCUUCUCAAUGUUCAUCCCCGAAGCAAACGAUGACCCUUUCGGAGUCUGAACAGACGAGGAAGAUGAUGGUGGCACGACCGAUGUUCCCAAAGUAGAAACACUGCUACUCAUGUUCACACUCGUCCCAGCCACCGACCCGUCUAUGGUGGUCCCCGCCUUUGGAGCCGGCGCCUUCCCAACCUCGGCUACACCUUCCAACAUCUGAACCACUUUUCCCAUCAUUGGUCUCUGCGACGGUUGUUCUUGGAUGCACCAAAAGCUUACUUCGAUAACUCGUCGAACCUGGUCCAUAUCGACCUGUUCGUGGUUACGAAGCUUGGUGUCGAUAAUCGCUUCGAUGUUUCCUUUAUCAACCUCUUCGUAAGCCCAAACGGAAAACUUUUUCCGGUUGGUUUGUUCCGAGACUUCAAAGUUCCGUCUUCCACACACGAUCUCCAACAAAACCAUUCCGUAACUGUAUACAUCCGAUUUAGAAGUUAUCGGCAGGUUCGCGAGCCAUUCCGGAGCCAAAUACCCUCGAGUCCCUCUCACGCUCGUUAAUGUUCGGUACCUGUGGUCUUUCGGGUUUACUAACUUAGCUAGCCCGAAAUCCGAAACCUUGGCGUUGUGAUUCUCGUCUAGAAGAAUGUUUUCGGGUUUUAUAUCGCAAUGAACGAUACAAUCCCGGCAUUCUUCGUGAAGGUAUGUGAUCCCUCUAGCUGUCCCGAGUGCAAUAUUGAAUCUAGUCUCCCAAUUUAACAUCUUAACCGAUUGUAACUGUUCUUCUGGCGCGAAUAAAAAGGUAUCAAGAGAACUGUUCUUCAUGAACUCGUACACUAGAAGCCUGUGACGACCUUCAGAACAAAAUCCGAUCAACCGCACAAGGUUCAAAUGAUGAGUGCUACUAAUCGUUGCAACCUCCAUACGAAACUGUUUCUCGCCUUGCUCGAUCCCUUCAAGCUGUUUAACCGCAACCGUGGUACGGUUGGCUAAAACCCCUUUGUAAACUGCACCGAACCCACCGGCUCCAAGCUUCUCCUUGAACCCUUUCGUGGCCCGUUGGAGAUCCUUGUAUGAAAACUGAACCGGUGCACCAGAGAUGAAUUUGGGAGACAUUGAUGGAUGGUGAAGAACAGGUGGGUGUGGGUGGGGGAAGAUG
rnacentral:lncRNA from 1 species